GUCAAAAAGAUGUUCAAUGUGGCACGGACAAUAUGCUGUUAUCAUGUGUUUACAGAAAAAAAACAUGCAUUUCGACAAUUACGACGACUAAAUGACUAUGACGAAAAUACAACUGCCUACUAUUGAGCAACGUUGCAACUAAUUAUGAUCGUACACUGGACAUCUCAACUGACGACAUCUACGUACAUAUUUACUUCUACUACCCGGGAUUCGACUGUCUGUCGACUUCUGGCAGGUACCUAAGCUUUUAAAUCGGCGGCGGAGAAAACGCCCAAUGAUUUCCCCUGUGAAUCUCCUACCUCAUACGAACUGGUGCCAAUUUUGCGCAGGAUGACGCAAGGCGAGUAUUGCGGUCCGAGCUUGGCAUUAAACUGAUUGCCUGCCGACGAUUGGCGGAAGCUCCGCUUGAAGACUCGUCGACCCACGUCAAACGUCGGCCUUUCAAAUCGAAUGUCUUUUCUAGCGUACAUUUGCCAGUUGAUAGAGUCAAACUUUUUACCAAACUCUCUCAUUCUAGGAAUGGUAGUCACGUUUGCAGCUAACAUUGCUGUUCUACAAUCGAUCCUGGUGUUUCGGAACAAGACGUCAAAUUUCCUGUCAUCAUCCCACUGUCUGGACAUACUACGAAAGAUUCGAACCAUAUCUAGAUAGUAGUCCUGAAAUUUCUCCCGCGGACCUUGUCUUCGCGCAUUGGCUAAGCGUUCGUAUUGGUAAUCGAUAUCAACAGCCUUCAUCUUCGUUCUCAAUUUUCGUUCCAGCUUGCUGCGCGAUUCAUCUCUCAUGUCGAUGUUACGAAUGAGUAAUUCAUGAUGAAGUUCAUCAUCCGCGAGGUGUGCAGCAUCCAGCGAGUGGUACUGCACCUGCAAAUGGGCUAGCUCCAUAAUGCAAAUUGGAUAAUUGAAAAUACUACCUAGUUAAAUGCUGAACGGUUUUGCACGUUAAAAAAAAUUGAAAAAUUAGAAAAGAACUACCUAGUUUUAUGUUAAACGGUUUUGCACGUUAAAAAAAAUUGAAAAAUUAGAAAAGAACUACCUAGUUUUAUGUUGAACGGUUUUGCACGUUAAAAAAUUGAAAAAUUGUAUAUUCUAAUAAUUUAAAAAAAUC